rnacentral:lncRNA from 1 species
AAAAUGUUCGCCUGCAGAAGUUGUUCGUGUUUCCAAAUUUUGUUUUGAAAUUUGAAAAAAUGUUCCUUUUCAGUUUUUUGGGUAGUUUAAAAAUAUUUCCAUUGUAAAAAAUAUGUUCGCGUCUCCAAAAUUCAUUUGUGUGACGAAAAAUGUUUGAGUUUUCUCAAAAUUUAUGAAAAAUAUAUCACUUCACUUGCACGACUUCACCCAACAUACAUAGACAAACAAGUCAAAAAAAUAUAGGGGACAAUGAGGUGCUUCACUUGCAUGACUUCACCAACAUACAUGGAAAAACUCUGAACCACAACCCUUAAAUAUGAUUCUUCUACUCCAUGUAGGGGCUUGACUCCACCAAACAUACAAAGAUAGAAGGUCAGCAUGUGCAUCAUUCAAGGCGGCCAAAUAUUGCAAAGGACAUGGAAUUUAUAUACACUGAAGAUGAACCUUCUCUCAAUGUAAGUAAAAAAUCAACUACUUCUUCACAAGGAUACAAUUUUGUAAGUAGCAAAACAUACUUUUAUUUGAGCAAAACAAUAAUGAAAGUACUAAAAAUAUAAAGGGUCAUUAUUGAAGGAAAAAAUAUAUUCCUAUGCGAAUUUCUUGAUGAAAAAUUUGUAACACAACACCCUUGCUUUACUACCGGCCGCCGACUCUGCCAACCCAAACAUCUUACUCUUGCUAGCAAUGUCACUGGUCAUGGUGAGGGUGAAAACUGAAAACUCUGUCACAUGCUCAAUGGUUAUAUGAUUGGCAUUGCUAGUUGAGGGUUAUCUAGAUGACUUAAAAUCAUUAUUCUAACCUGAAACAACAAGAUAAACAUACCUAUAUAGGCCUUGGAGAGACUACGUAUUGUUGCCAGUGUUUGAUGAAGCUUCAGAUUAAAUUACUAUGUAUUAUAUGCUUAAUUUUAUUAGUGUAUGCUUGAUUUUCUUACAAUCAAGGGAAAAUGUAGUAAUAUAAUCUGAAGCUUCAUGAAACAGCAGGAGUACUACAAAGCUGACGGUCCCCUGCCUGUAGAAUCUAAUGUACAAUAAGCAAUGCCUUUUUUUGACCUCCUCUUCUACAGAAAAUCGUUCCCCGGACUGUACCACCAUAGUCAAGAAGCUAGAGUACUUUGCUCUGAAGGACCAAGGUGAUUCGAUGCAUGAUCGUCAUGCCAAUCACCCCUGAGUAAUGCUGUUGUGGUGUGUCCGGUAUCAGGUUAUCUAUUGCAAGAGGUUGCAAGUCCACCGAAGCAGUGGCAGAACCAGUAUCUUGGUCCGUCUCAGAAUCACCCAACUGAGACAGACAGGCUAACACUGGCCCACACACCAGUUCUCUCCACUCUCUACCACUUCAAGGGCAAUUUGGAAUUUAUCAGCAAUUUCAGAAGCACCAAAACUACCAGAAUAUGAACUCUAUGGUACGAGUAAAGCAAAGCUGGCGAAUCAUGUUUUAGCCCCUUUCUCCGAACUUCAAGUCCUAACUGAUAGUGACUCGAUGCUUGAAAUGUAGAAUAACAAUUUUCAGUCAUUAUUAGAUAAGUUAAGAAGAUUGGAGGGCCUCUGUAUUUGAGAAAUGCACAAAGCCGUAGUAGCCAGUACAAGAUUUACAAAGUAUCAAUGGGAACACGUAGGUUCAUAGAAUUGUACGAAUGUGAAGACAUAUCGAACUAAAAAACAAUUACGAGCAACAGAUUCAUACUUCGAGCCAAGACAAACAGAUUUUUUAAGUGAUUGUUUAGUAAUUUGAGAAAUGACAAGCAAUGAGCAUGUGAAUACCAAGACUACCUCAUAGAUUUGAUUGUCAGUGUACUCUCCUAGAGGGUCAAGGUUGUUUCUCACAGUUCAAUCGAACAUUGAUGAUGGCCAAUCUAGAAAUCAGAUCGUACAAGCCAAUGGUGCCAAUGUCGAUGAUGUAUACUAUUAUCUAACCGAUAGUAGGACACAUGAUACAGAAAAGGGCAUGCAUGAGAGUUGAUUUACCACUACAUAUUCUACCAAAAAUACCUGUCUGCAUACCUUGGAGUAUAUCUCACGUGCAUCAUUAUUAAAAAGUUAAUGACAUGAGCUACUUAGUAAUAUUCUGUUGUUGAUCUGGCAAAUCACUGAACCAAACAGUUCAUUUGCCCAUGAGUUUAGAUUUCUGGCAAUUUACUCACAAGGGGAAAAAAGGUGCAGCUUCUUUAGAACAUGCCAACACAAAAAUGUAAAUACGUAACAGAAGUGGGCAAGAGGGAAAAUAGAUGAUGGUAUUUACAUGGAGGUUAUGGAGCUGAAUUUCCCCUCUGAUGGCCAGUUAUUUGAUAACCAAUCUUCAGAUAUUGAAAGAGAG